UACAGAGGUCUCAAGCGUUGUUCGGAUUCAUUGGGCGUAAAGGGUGUGUAGGUGGCGCCGUAAGCGGGUGUGAAAUUUCGGAGCUUAACUCCGAAACUGCAUUCGAUACUGCGGUGCUUUGAGGACUGGAGAGGAGACUGGAAUUCAUGGUGUAGCAGUGAAAUGCGUAGAGAUCAUGAGGAAGACCAGUGGCGAAGGCGGGUCUCUGGACAGUUCCUGACACUGAGACACGAAGGCCAGGGGAGCAAACGGGG
rnacentral:rRNA from 1 species